AACGAACGCUGGCGGCAUGCUUAACACAUGCAAGUCGAACGAGACGUCCGGGCUUUGUGGCGCACGGGUGCGUAACGAGUGGGAACUUGCACUUAGGUUCGGUAUACUUCACUGUAAGGUAUCUUAAGACAGGUUAAUGUAAUCGCACCAAAGAUCUAUGGCUUUUGGGUGGGCGCGGGUUGGAUUAGGUGGUUGGUAGGGUACAAGCAUAUCAUGGCGAUGAUGCAUGGCUGGUCUGGGAGGAGGAUCAGCCACACUGGGACUGCGACACGGCCCAGACUCCGACGGAGGACAGCAGUGUGGAGUAUUAUGGGAGGAACGAUGACCUGAUCCAGCAGUGCCGCGUAUGUGGGGAAGGCCUUAGGGUUGUAAAUCUCUUUUAGCCGAGGUGAUAGUGACAGUACCGGGAAAAGAAGCACCGGCUAACUACGUG
rnacentral:rRNA from 1 species